AUUGAACGCUGGCGGCAGGCCUAACACAUGCAAGUCGAACGAGUGGCGGACGGGUGAGUAAUGUCUGGGACACUGCGCGAGGGAGAGGGAUAACUACUGGAAACGGUAGCUAAUACCGCAUACCCUCGGAUGUGCCCACAGGGGAUUAGCUAGUAGGUGGGGCAACGGCUAACAUAGGCGACGAUCCCUAGCUGGUCUGAGAGGAUGACCAGCCACACUGGAACUGAGACACGGUCCAGACUCCGACGGGAGGCAGCAGUGGGGAAUAGUGGACAAUGGGCGCAAGCCUGAUGCAGCAAUGCCGCGUGUAUGAAGAAGGUCUUCGGGUUGUAAAGUACUUUCAGCGAGGAGGCGUUACUCGCAGAAGAAGCACCGGCUAACUCCGUGCCAGCCGCCGCGGUAAUAC
rnacentral:rRNA from 1 species